rnacentral:rRNA from 1 species
UACCAGCACCCCCGAGUGGUCGGGACGAUUAUUGGGCCUAAAGCAUCCGUAGCCGGUUCUACAAGUCUUCCGUUAAAUCCACCUGCUUAACAGAUGGGCUGCGGAGGAUACUAUAGAGCUAGGAGGCGGGAGAGGCAAGCGGUACUUAGUGGGGUAGGGGUAAAAUCCGUUGAUCCAUUGAAGACCACCAGUGGCGAAGGCGGCUUGCCAGAACGCACUCGACGGUGAGGGAUGAAAGCUGGGGGAGCAAACCGG